GACGAACGCUGGCGGCGUGCUUAACACAUGCAAGUCGAACGGUAAGGCCCUUCGGGGUACACGAGUGGCGAACGGGUGAGUAACACGUGGGUGAUCUGCCCUGCACUUCGGGAUAAGCCUGGGAAACUGGGUCUAAUACCGGAUAGGACUCCGGACUGCAUGGUCUGGGGUGGAAAGCUUUUGCGGUGUGGGAUGGGCCCGCGGCCUAUCAGCUUGUUGGUGGGGUGAUGGCCUACCACGGCGACGACGGGUAGCCGGCCUGAGAGGGUGACCGGACACACUGGGACUGAGCUACGGCCCAGACGCGUACGGGAGGCAGCAGUGGGGAAUAUUGCACUAUGGGCGCAAGCCUGAUGCAGCGACGCCGCGUGAGGGAUGACGGCCUUCGGGUUGUAAACCUCUUUCAGCAUCGACGAAGCGAAAGUGACGGUAGGUGCAGAAGAAGGACCGGCCAACUACGUGCCAGCCGCCGCAGUAA
rnacentral:rRNA from 1 species